AUUCCAGCUCCAAUAGCGUAUAUUAAAGUUGUUGCGGUUAAAAAGCUCGUAGUUGGAUUUCUGCCGAGGAUGACCGGUCCGCCCUGUGGGUGUGCAUCUGGCUCAGCCUUGGCAUCUUCCUGAAGAACGUAGCUGCACUUGACUGUGUGGUGCGGUAUUUAGGACAUUUACUUUGAGGAAAUUAGAGUGUUUCAAGCAAGCGCACGCUUUGAAUACAUUAGCAUGGAAUAAUAAGAUAGGACCUCGGUUCUAUUUUGUUGGUUUCUAGAGCUGAGGUAAUGAUUGAUAGGGAUAGUUGGGGGCAUUCGUAUUUAACUGUCAGAGGUGAAAUUCUCAGACCAGCGGAAGACGAACCACUGCGAAAGAAUUUGCCAGGGAUGUUUUCAUUG
rnacentral:rRNA from 1 species